GGUACUGGCACUGAUCCUUUUGGUGCUCCUACAAAGACUUGGCCUUGGGAGGAUGGCACAAAUUCGUUGGCCAUGGCUAAGAGAAGAAUGAGAGCUCACUUUGAGUUCAUGGAGAAGUUGGGAGUCGACAAAUGGUGCUUCCAUGACAGGGAUAUUGCCCCGGAUGGGAAGACACUUGAAG